UCUUAGAAACCCAAGCACAGAGUUCAGAGAAAUAUGAGCACAUGUGCAAAGGGAAGAUGAGUACAAAAAAAUGAGUGGGGUUCCUCUUCGCCAUCCCUAAAACCGUGGCAGUAUUUAGCAGCAACCCUGAUGAGGCUGGUCUCAGAACCGUGCAAACAUCUGCCCUGCCUGGCCUCUCAGUGAGAAAGCUUCUACCUCUUAACAGGUAUUUCCACAAACUUGCUGUCCACCUCCCUGUUACAGCAUAAGCUGUACUUCUUUGUCCUUUUCUGGAAAUCAUGAAUGUGCAUGUCAUAUGCAGCAUGUGUUUGUGUAGUGGCUGGAAGCUCUCCGUGGACCAGGCUCUCUCCAAGGUAAUGGCGAGUCAUGGAAAUCUUUGAAGCAGAGGAGUGUCCUAUUCAGAACUGUUGUAUUAAAUGAUGAUUGUGCAGCAGGGUAGAAGCUGAAUUAGCAGGAGAAACACUGGAGACAA